rnacentral:rRNA from 1 species
CACGUAGGCGGCCUGGUAAGUCAGAUGUGAAAGCCCGGGCUUAACCCCGGAAGUGCAUUUGAUACUGUCAGGCUUGAGUAUGGGAGAGGGAAGUGGAAUUCCUGGUGUAGAGGUGAAAUUCGUAGAUAUCAGGAGGAACACCGGUGGCGAAGGCGACUUCCUGGACCAAUACUGACGCUGAGGUGCGAAGGCGUGGGUAGCAAACAGGAUUAGAUACCCUGGUAGUCC